rnacentral:rRNA from 1 species
AGGGUUCGAUUCUGGCUCAGGAUGAACGCUAGCGACAGGCUUAACACAUGCAAGUCGAGGGGCAGCAUAAAAGUAGCAAUACUUGGUGGCGACCGGCGCACGGGUGAGUAACGCGUAUGCAACCUACCUAUCAGAGGGGAAUAACCCGGCGAAAGUCGGACUAAUACCGCAUAAAACAGGGACACCGCAUGGUGAUAUUUGUUAAAGAAAUUCGCUGAUAGAUGGGCAUGCGUUCCAUUAGGUAGUUGGUGAGGUAACGGCUCACCAAGCCGACGAUGGAUAGGGGAACUGAGAGGUUGGUCCCCCACACUGGUGCUGAGACACGGACCAGACUCCUACGGGAGGCAGCAGUGAGGAAUAUUGGUCAAUGGGCGAGAGCCUGAACCAGCCAAGUCGCGUGAAGGAAGAAGGAUCUAUGGUUCGUAAACUUCUUUUGCAGGGGAAUAAAGUGCAGGACGUGUCCUGUUUUGUAUGUACCCUGAGAAUAAGGAUCGGCUAACUCCGUGCCAGCCGCGGC